GACGGAGGGUGCAAGCGUUGUUCGGAAUUACUGGGCGUAAAGCGCGGGCAGGUGGCCCUUUAAGUCCUUUGUGAAAUUCCGGAGCUCAACUCCGGAUGUGCAUAGGAUACUGGAAGGCUAGAGACUGGUAGAGGCGAGCGGAAUUCCUGGUGUAGCGGUGGAAUGCGUAGAUAUCAGGAAGAACACCGGUGGCGAAGGCAGCCCCCUGGGUCAAGAUUGACGCUCAUGCACGAAAGCGUGGGGAGCAAACAGG
rnacentral:rRNA from 1 species